rnacentral:rRNA from 1 species
GAUGAACGCUGGCGGCGUGCCUAAUACAUGCAAGUCGAGCGAACGGACGAGAAGCUUGCUUCUCUGAUGUUAGCGGCGGACGGGUGAGUAACACGUGGAUAACCUACCUAUAAGACUGGGAUAACUUCGGGAAACCGGAGCUAAUACCGGAUAAUAUUUUGAACCGCAUGGUUCAAAAGUGAAAGGCGGUCUUGCUGUCACUUAUAGAUGGAUCCGCGCUGCAUUAGCUAGUUGGUAAGGUAACGGCCUACCAAGGCAACGAUGCAUAGCCGACCUGAGAGGGUGAUCAGCCACACUGGAACUGAGACACGGUCCAGACUCCUACGGGAGGCAGCAGUAGGGAAUCUUCCGCAAUGGGCGAAAGCCUGACGGAGCAACGCCGCGUGAGUGAUGAAGGUCUUCGGAUCGUAAAACUCUGUUAUUAGGGAAGAACAUAUGUGUAAGUAACUGUGCACAUCUUGACGGUACCUAAUCAGAAAGCCACGGCUAACUACGUG